UACGUAGGGGGCAAGCGUUGUCCGGAAUCAUUGGGCGUAAAGCGCGUGUAGGCGCCAGAAAAGUCCGCUGUGAAAACUCGAGGCUCAACUUCGAGCUGUCGGUGGAAACUUUCUGGCUAGAGUCCGGAAGAGGAGAAUGGAAUUCCUGGUGUAGCGGUGAAAUGCGCAGAUAUCAGGAAGAACACCCGUGGCGAAGGCGGCUCUCUGGGACGGUACUGACGCUGAGACGCGAAAGCGUGGGGAGCGAACAGG
rnacentral:rRNA from 1 species